rnacentral:rRNA from 1 species
GGUAUCCUGUCUGAAUAUGGGGGGACCAUCCUCCAAGGCUAAAUACUCCUGACUGACCGAUAGUGAACCAGUACCGUGAGGGAAAGGCGAAAAGAACCCCGGCGAGGGGAGUGAAAAAGAACCUGAAACCGUGUACGUACAAGCAGUGGGAGCACAGGUUUACCUGUGUGACUGCGUACCUUUUGUAUAAUGGGUCAGCGACUUAUAUUCUGUAGCAAGGUUAACCGAAUAGGGGAGCCGCAGGGAAACCGAGUCUUAACCGGGCGUUAAGUUGCAGGGUAUAGACCCGAAACCCGGUGAUCUAGCCAUGGGCAGGUUGAAGGUUGGGUAACACUAACUGGAGGACCGAACCGACUAAUGUUGAAAAAUUAGCGGAUGACCUGUGGCUGGGGGUGAAAGGCCAAUCAAACCGGGAGAUAGCUGGUUCUCCCCGAAAGCUAUUUAGGUAGCGCCUCGUGAACUCAUCUCCGGGGGUAGAGCACUGUUUCGGCUAGGGGGUCAUCCCGACUUACCAACCCGAUGCAAACUGCGAAUACCGGAGAAUGUUAUCACGGGAGACACACGGCGGGUGCUAACGUCCGUCGUGAAGAGGGAAACAACCCAGACCGCCAGCUAAGGUCCCAAAGUCAUGGUUAAGUGGGAAACGAUGUGGGAAGGCCCAGACAGCCAGGAUGUUGGCUUAGAAGCAGCCAUCAUUUAAAGAAAGCGUAAUAGCUCACUGGUCGAGUCGGCCUGCGCGGAAGAUGUAACGGGGCUAAACCAUGCACCGAAGCUGCGGCAGCGACACUGUGUGUUGUUGGGUAGGGGAGCGUUCUGUAAGCCUGUGAAGGUGGCCUGUGAGGGUUGCUGGAGGUAUCAGAAGUGCGAAUGCUGACAUAAGUAACGAUAAAGCGGGUGAAAAGCCCGCUCGCCGGAAGACCAAGGGUUCCUGUCCAACGUUAAUCGGGGCAGGGUGAGUCGACCCCUAAGGCGAGGCCGAAAGGCGUAGUCGAUGGGAAACGGGUUAAUAUUCCCGUACUUGGUGUUACUGCGAAGGGGGGACGGAGAAGGCUAUGUUGGCCGGGCGACGGUUGUCCCGGUUUAAGCGUGUAGGUGUGUGUUCCAGGUAAAUCCGGUUCACUUUAACACUGAGGCGUGACGACGAGGCACUACGGUGCUGAAGCAACAAAUGCCCUGCUUCCAGGAAAAGCCUCUAAGCAUCAGGUAACAUCAAAUCGUACCCCAAACCGACACAGGUGGUCAGGUAGAGAAUACCAAGGCGCUUGAGAGAACUCGGGUGAAGGAACUAGGCAAAAUGGUGCCGUAACUUCGGGAGAAGGCACGCUGACACGUAGGUGAAGUGAUUUACUCAUGGAGCUGAAGUCAGUCGAAGAUACCAGCUGGCUGCAACUGUUUAUUAAAAACACAGCACUGUGCAAACACGAAAGUGGACGUAUACGGUGUGACGCCUGCCCGGUGCCGGAAGGUUAAUUGAUGGGGUCAGCGCAAGCGAAGCUCCUGAUCGAAGCCCCGGUAAACGGCGGCCGUAACUAUAACGGUCCUAAGGUAGCGAAAUUCCUUGUCGGGUAAGUUCCGACCUGCACGAAUGGCGUAAUGAUGGCCAGGCUGUCUCCACCCGAGACUCAGUGAAAUUGAACUCGCUGUGAAGAUGCAGUGUACCCGCGGCAAGACGGAAAGACCCCGUGAACCUUUACUAUAGCUUGACACUGAACAUUGAGCCUUGAUGUGUAGGAUAGGUGGGAGGCUUUGAAG